GUUUAAGACAUAAUAAUGCGGGCAGGUUCAAACAUUACUUGUAAACACGUAACUCCGCUCACAUCUGUAACGCGCAUGCGCGAGUUCUUAGACGCCUGCAGAGCUCCGAGCGGACGCAGCACGAAGCGAAGUUACGGCAGCAGAGCGACAUGAACGGGCUGAUAGAACCACGACUACCGGCUCCACUACUCUGUUUCUGUGGGUGGUGGUUGCAUCUGAUGGAGGUUACGUCUGAUGAUGGUUGUCCCUGGACUGGUCCUGCCUUACCCCUGGCUUAGUAAUCCACAAUAUUAGAAUCAUUUCUGUCGUAGGAAUCGGAUGUACUGUACAUCUUUAAAUUGUUCAUACUCUACACACCUACUGCCUUGCUGUUUUCUCCUCAGGUUUCUCCUGGUUGAAGUUUUUUUACAUUUUGGGGUUUAGGGGAUAGGGUGUUGCAUGUUUACAGAUUGCAAAGCUGAACAAAAUAAAAUGAUUUGAAUUGAAUAAACACGUUGACCAGAGGAAUCUGCUCCAUGCACUCUGACUCCCUUUACACAAAGAAUCCUCAAGUGAGGAUGAGGGAGAUGCAGCUGAUUUCAGGUAUACUAUCCCAACUCAAGUGAGGCACAUCUUGUUACAGAAUCUAUAAUGAAGUUCCAAUGAUUCAGAAAAAUGGUCUACAAACACAGAAUUGUUGAACACAGAAAUGUUGUUUCUGC
ensembl:lncRNA